GGCGAACGCUGGCGGCGUGCUUAACACAUGCAAGUCGAACGAGAGCGUAGAGAAAGCUUGCUUUUUCUACAAUCUAGUGGCAAACGGGUGAGUAACGCGUAAACAACCUGCCCUACGGAUGGGGACAACAGCUGGAAACGGCUGCUAAUACCGAAUACGUUCCGAAAGUCGCAUGACUAUCGGAAGAAAGGAUGGCCUCUAUUUAUAAGCUAUCGCCGGAGGAGGGGUUUGCGUCUGAUUAGCUAGUUGGAGGGGUAACGGCCCACCAAGGCGACGAUCAGUAGCCGGUCUGAGAGGAUGAACGGCCACAUUGGAACUGAGACACGGUCCAGACUCCUACGGGAGGCAGCAGUGGGGAAUCUUCCGCAAUGGGCGAAAGCCUGACGGAGCAACGCCGCGUGAGUGAAGACGGCCUUCGGGUUGUAAAGCUCUGUUAUACGGGACGAAUAAUCUUGUGGUUAAUACCCAUGAGAAGUGACGGUACCGUAAGAGAAAGCCACGGCUAACUACGUG
rnacentral:rRNA from 1 species